AAAUUGAAGAGUUUGAUCAUGGCUCAGAUUGAACGCUGGCGGCAGGCCUAACACAUGCAAGUCGAACGGUAACAGAAAGCAGCUUGCUGCUUUGCUGACGAGUGGCGGACGGGUGAGUAAUGUCUGGGAAACUGCCUGAUGGAGGGGGAUAACUACUGGAAACGGUAGCUAAUACCGCAUAACGUCGAAAGACCAAAGAGGGGGACCUUCGGGCCUCUUGCCAUCGGAUGUGCCCAGAUGGGAUUAGCUUGUUGGUGGGGUAACGGCUCACC
rnacentral:rRNA from 1 species